AUAUAUAUAUAUAUAUAUAGAGAGAGAGAGAGAGAGAGUGAGGCUACUAUGUUAUCGGAAGCACGGAGCCUUCUAUGCUUCCAGCUCGUUUUCGAUGUUGCGACUUUUUCGUUAAACUUGAUCUAGAUUAUUUGGAGUACCUAGAAAAUAAAUUUUAUUAUUUUUCGAUAUCAUUUGCCUAGUGAUCGAAUGGGCUCAAAAUCAACAAAUUUCAAUGGCCGUAGUGAGCCGUUUGCAAGUUUAACGGCGUAGAAAUAUUCAAAUCACGUGAAAUUUUGAUAGAAAAUUUUUUAUACUAUAUAAAAUAAGAUCAAUAUUUUUGAUUUAAAAUUUUAAUGUCCUAUUAUUAUAUUUUGUAAGAUUUUUAUUUUCAGCCGUUGAUUUUGAGCCCUUUCGUUCACUAGGCAAAUGAUAUCGUAAAAUCAUAAAAUUUAUUUUCUAGGUAUUUCAAAUACUCUAGAUCAAGUUUAACGGAGCCGAUCGACGAUUUGAAAGUCGCAACAUCGAAAACGAACUGGAAGCACGGAAGGCUCCGUGCUUCCGAUAGCAUAGUAGCCUCACUCUAUAUAUAUAUAUAUAUAUAGUACGUCUCCCGUGUUUUCGAACGUACGGAGGUCUUCGUACUUGUAAGUUGUUUUCGAUGAUAGGACAUCCGAUUCGACGAUCGGCUCUGUUAGGCAUAAUCUAUGCUAUUGGAACUAUCUAGAAACCAAAUUUUAUAAUUUUUCGACUUCAUUUACCAAGCGAUCAAAGGGUCUCAAAAAUGAUUAUUUUAACGGCUGAUGUGGCACGUUUUUAAGUUCAAUGGUGUAGAAGUAUCCAAAUUAUAUGAAACUUUAAUAGAAAAUUCUUCUUAACAUCAAGAGUAAGAACAAUACUUCUGAUUUGAAAUUUGAGUUCUUUAUCACUGUUUUUUAUGAGAUUUUUAUUUUCAACUGUUUAUUUUGAGGCUACUCGUUCACUAGGCAAACGAAAUUAAAAUAUUAUGAAAUUUGGUUUCUAGAUAGUUCUAAUAGCGUAGAUCAUGUCUAACAGAACCGAUCGCCGAAUUAGACGUCCCAUCAUCGAAAAUAAAUUACAAGCACGAAGGUCUCCGUAUUUUCAAAAGCAUAGGAGCCUAGCUCUCUCUCUCUCUCUCUCUCUCUCUCUCUCUAUAUAUAUAUAUAUAGCAGGGCUGCUGUGCUCUAAGGAGCACGAAGGCGUUCGUGCUCCUGAGCCGUUUUCGAUGAUGGAAUUUUCGAAUCGACGAUUAGCUCCGUUAGACUUGAUCUAGCGCAUUUGAAGUUUCUAGAAAAUAAUUUUUGCGAUUUUUUGAUAUCAUUUACCUAAUGAUCGAAAGGAUUCAAAAUUCAUAAUUUUUAAUGGUUGAUAUCUGCCGUUUUCAAGUUUAACGGUGUAGAAGUAUUCAAAUUAGAUGAAAUUUUGAUACAAAAUUUUUUAUACUAUCUAUAAUAAAAUCAAUAUUUCUGAUCGAAAAUUUUAGUGCUAUAUCUCCACUUUUUAUAGGAUUUUUAUUUUUAGCCGUUAAAAAUUAUUGAUUUUGAAUCCUUUUGAUUGCUAGGUAAAUAAUAUUGAAAAAUCUAAAAAAUUAUUUUUUAGAAACUUCAAAUACGCUAGAUCAAGUUUAACGGAGCCAAUCGUUGAUUUGGAAACUCCAUCAUCGAAAACGGCUCAGAAGCACGGAGGCCUCCGUGCUCCUGAAGAGCACAGCAGCCCUGCUCUAUAUAUAUAGGUAGUAAACGAGCCGUUUUACUACCGAUUUGUUUUCGAUGAUAGAACCUCCAAAUUGACGAUCGGCUUCAUUGAACAUGAUGUAUACCACUUGAAGUGUUUAGAAAUCAAAUUUUAAAUCUUUUCAACAUCAUUUGCCUAAUGAUCAAAGGGUUUCAAAAUUUGUAAUUUUAAUGGUCGAUAAGAGGCGUUUUCUCGUUUAAUGGCGUAAAGAUAUUCAAAUCAAUUGAAUUUUUGUUAGAAAAUUUUUUAAACUAUUUAAAACAAGAUCUAUACUCUUGAUCUUGAUUACAAGACUCCUAUCAUCAUUUUUUAAAGAAUAUUCAUUUUCAGCCAUUUAUUUUGCUGUUCACUUAAUGGAUAAAAGAACAAUAUCGAAAGUGCAUAAAAUUUGAUUUCUAGGUAGUUUAAAUGGUUUAGAUCAUAUUUAACGGAGCCGAUCGUCAAUUUGGAAGCUCUAUCAUCGAAAACAAAUCGGUAGUAAAACGGCUCGUUUACUACCGAUAGUAUUCUAGCUCAACUCUCUAUAUAUAUAUAUAAAUUUUGAGUUCUUUGUAUUUAUAGUGAACUAUUACCUAAUGUUUUCUGAAUUUGUUUUCUUUUUAAGAUCACACUUUUUCCCAAACAUCUCAACCCUAUGCUCAUUUUAGUGACAUUUCUCUUUCACACAAUGCUUUAGAAAUUCUCUAGUGAGCCACAUCUACAUGAAUUGCUGCUUUCUCAAAAUCUUUUUAAAAGUCAAAACCUAUCAACUGUGUAUAAAUUGACACUUAUUGUCCUCUUAAUAGGGUUGAUAAAAAACGAAAAAAAAAAAAACAAAAACAAGAAAUGGUUUCAUUCAUUGAUUGAAACAUUUGCAAAAAAAAAAAGUCAGUGGUGGAUUCCUUUUCAUGUAAGGCUUGUUCACAAUCCUUCUCGUGCUAUACUAUGGAUUUAAGUUAUGUUAAGACUUAAUUACACUAUGCCACACAAUACUUUAUAAUUUUUUUGGCUAAAAUAUAAAAAAAAUUUCUAUAAAUACCUAGCGUUUCACUUUUCCUCAUUGACAUUCAAAAAUGUAUAUUUUGCCCUCUAAAAAAAUUUAGAAAUAUUUUCAGAAAGUUACAGCAAUAAUGAAGUGUUGGAGAAAAAUUCAAAAUCCUCUAUUUUAUUAUUUUAACUUAUUAAUCUUAAUUUAUUUUUAUUAUAUAUAUAUAUAUAUAUAUAUAGAGUUGAGCUAGAAUACUAUCGAUAGCAAACGGACUUCGUUGCCAUCCAUUUGUUUUCGAUGAUGGAGCCUCCAAAUCGACGAUCGGCACCGUUGAACAUGAUUUAUACCACUUGAAGUGUUUAGAAAUAAAAUUUCAUACAUUUUAGAUAUUGUUCUUUUAUCCAUCAAGUUGACACAAAAAUAGACGGCUGAAAAUGAAUAUUCUUUAAAAAAUGAUGAUAGUAGUCUUGUAAUCAAGAUCAAGAAUAUAGAUCUUAUUUUAAAUAGUUUAAAGAAUUUUCUAACAACAAUGCAAUUGAUUUGGAUAUCUUUACACCGUUAAACGAGAAAAUGCCUCAUAUCGACCAUUAAAAUUACAAAAUUUGAAACUCUUUGAUCAUUAGGUAAAUGAUGUCGAAAAGAUUUGAAAUUUGAUUUCUAAGCACUUCAAGUAGUAUAGAUCAUGUUCAACGGUGUCGAUCGUCGAUUUGGAGGCUCCAUCAUCGAAAAUAAAUGGAUGGCAACGGAGCCCGUUUGCUAUCAAUAGCAUUCUAGCUCAACUCUCUCUCUCUCUCUCUCUCUCUCUCUCUCUCUCUCUCUCUCUUCAUCUACGUUUCUCCUCUCUUAUAUAUAUAUAUAUAUUAUAUAUAUAUAUAUGAGCUAGGUUGGUAUACUAUCGGUAGCACGGAGACCUCUGUGCUACCAAGUUGUUUUCAAUGAUACGACUUCCAAAUCGACGAUCGGCUCCGGUAGACUUGAUCCACACUAUUGAAAAUAUUUGGAAACUAAAUUUCAUAAUUUUUCGGCAUCAUUUACCUAUCAAACGAGUAGUCUAAAAAUGAACGGUGAAAAUAAAAUCACACAAAAAAUGAUGAUAAAAGGCUUGAAUUUAACAUCAGAGAUACGAUCUUACUCUAAGUAGUGAAAAAAAAAAUUUUAUAAAAAAUUUCAUCAAAUUUGGAUUGUUUUACACCGUUAAAUUCACAAACGCAUCAAAUCUAUUAUUAAAAUUUUUAAUUUUGAGACCUUUUGAUCACUAGUCAAAUGAUGGCGAAAAAUUGUGAAAUUUAGUUUUCAAAUACUUUUAAUAGUGUAGAUAAUGUCUAACGAAGCGAUCGUCGAUUUGAAAGUCACAUCAUUGAAAUAAUUUGUAGCACGGAGGCUGAUAGUAUACCAUAUAUUAUAUAUAUAUAUAUAUAUAUAUAUUAUAUAUAAUUAUAUAUAUAAUAUAUAGAGUGAGGCUACUAUGCUAUCGGAAGCACGAGCCAUCCGUGCUUCCAGCUCGUUUUGAUGUUGCGACUUUUUGAAUCGUCGAUCGGCUCCGUUAAACCUGAUCUAGAGUAUUUGGAUACAUAGAAAAUAAAUUUUAUUAUUCGAUAUCAUUUGCCUAGUGAUCGAAUGAGCUCAAAAUCAACAAAUUUCAAUGGCCGUAGUGAGCCGUUUGCAAGUUUAACGGUGGUAGAAAUAUCCAAAUCACGUGAAAUUUUGAUAGAAAAUUCUUUAUACUAUAUAAAACAAGAUCAAUAUCUUUGAUUUAAAAUUUUAAUGUUAUAUGUUACAUUUUUGUAAGAUUUUUAUUUUCAGCCGUUGAUUUGAGCCCCUUCGUUCAUUAGGCAAAUCAUAUCGUAAAAUCAUAAAAUUUAUUUUCUAGGUACUCCAAAUACUCUAGAUCAAGUUUAACGGAGCCGAUCGACGAUUCGAAAGUCGCAACAUCGAAAACGAGCUGGAAGCACGAAAGGUUCCGUGCUUCCGAUAGCAUAGUAGCCUCACUCUAUAUAUAUAUAUAUAUAU
rnacentral:lncRNA from 1 species